rnacentral:tRNA from 1 species
GCCAGAAUGGUGGAAUUGGUAGACACAAGGGACUUAAAAUCCCUCGGCUCUGAGCUGUACGGGUUCGACCCCCGUUUCUGGCA